rnacentral:rRNA from 1 species
GAUGAACGCUGACAGAAUGCUUAACACAUGCAAGUCAACUUGAACUUCGGUUUGGGUGGCGGACGGGUGAGUAACGCGUAAAGAACUUGCCUCACAGAUAGGGACAACAUUUGGAAACGAAUGCUAAUACCUGAUAUUAUGAUUUUAGGGCAUCCUAGAAUUAUGAAAGCUAUAUGCGCUGUGAGAGAGCUUUGCGUCCCAUUAGCUAGUUGGAGAGGUAACGGCUCACCAAGGCGAUGAUGGGUAGCCGGCCUGAGAGGGUGAUCGGCCACAAGGGGACUGAGACACGGCCCUUACUCCUACGGGAGGCAGCAGUGGGGAAUAUUGGACAAUGGACCAAGAGUCUGAUCCAGCAAUUCUGUGUGCACGAUGAAGUUUUUCGGAAUGUAAAGUGCUUUCAGUUGGGAAGAAAAAAAUGACGGUACCAACAGAAGAAGUGACGGCUAAAUACGUGCCAGCAGCCGCGGUAAUACGUAUGUCACAAGCGUUAUCCGGAUUUAUUGGGCGUAAAGCGCGUCUAGGUGGUUAUAUAAGUCUGAUGUGAAAAUGCAGGGCUCAACUCUGUAUUGCGUUGGAAACUGUGUAACUAGAGUACUGGGGAGGUAAGCGGAACUACAAGUGUAGAGGUGAAAUUCGUAGAUAUUUGUAGGAAUGCCGAUGGGGAAGCCAGCUUACUGGACAGAUACUGACGCUGAAGCGCGAAAGCGUGGGUAGCAAACAGG